rnacentral:rRNA from 1 species
GACGAACGCUGGCGGCGUGCCUAAUACAUGCAAGUCGAGCGGAUGGAAGGAAGCUUGCUUCCUAAAGUCAGCGGCGGACGGGUGAGUAACACGUGGGCAACCUGCCCCUAAGAUCGGGAUAACUUCGGGAAACCGGAGCUAAUACCGGAUAUGAUUAUGUCUCACAUGAGACAUAAUGGAAAGACGGUUUCGGCUGUCACUUAGGGAUGGGCCCGCGGCGCAUUAGCUAGUUGGUGAGGUAACGGCUCACCAAGGCGACGAUGCGUAGCCGACCUGAGAGGGUGAUCGGCCACACUGGGACUGAGACACGGCCCAGACUCCUACGGGAGGCAGCAGUAGGGAAUCUUCCGCAAUGGACGAAAGUCUGACGGAGCAACGCCGCGUGAGUGAAGAAGGUUUUCGGAUCGUAAAACUCUGUUGUUAGGGAAGAACAAGUACCAUAGUAACUGAUGGUACCUUGACGGUACCUAACUAGAAAGCCACGGCUAACUACGUGCCAGCCGCCGCGGUAAUAC